GUCUACGGAGGAGCAAAUAUCCUCGUGCGGUCAAUCCUGAAUUUAUAGUAGCAGCUGCUAUGCUAGUAAAUGUUCUAUAAUUGGCCGCACAAGACGUGCGGACAGCGACACAAACCAACCCCACUUGCAAGAACGACACUCUGGAUGGAUAUUCCAACCAGGCAUGUUUUUUUUUUCUUUCAGGGGUAGAUAUUCCAACCAGCUGGUCGGCUACUAUUGAGUGAAGUCUGAAACAAAUCUUGUCUUUGUACGACCCGUCGGAAUCGAACCCCCAACUCCUAAUACCUGAAAUCGACACCCUCACCUCUCAAAUCCCGGUCGUCACAACCCUUAAGCCCGUUUUAAGAGUGGGAUCGGUGACGUGGCACCGCUGGCGGCAGGGUUUGGUGAUUAAUGGGGUCGGGUUGCUGAAAAUAAUUGUUCUUUGCCUUAUCCCAAUGUACCACUGGUCCGCUGCUGCCGCUCACAGCCACUCAUUCCACCGAGAGGGAGGGUUCUGACCAGGUAAAAUCCGCCGUUCAGGCCGUGGCCGGCGGCAAGACCGGAGCUGUAUAGCGCCGUCCAUCUCCGACGCUCUUCUCCGCCCGGAGCUGCCACGGUAGCCACACCCGUCUCCGGCGCUCUGCUCGCUCGCGUCAGGCGCGCUGCGCCACGCCCGGACGUGGCCUUGGCUGCUGGCGGCAAGACGGUGGCCGUCGCAGCUAGUGCUGCCCACCUCCAGCGCACCCAACGGCAGGCCAAGGUUCUGGCUGAACUUUGAUUCUAACUGACUCGUAUCCGAGGACUUGACCCGUUGUGAAUUGUGAUGGCGACAAGUGAUGGAGCGAUGAGACGAAGAUAAGUUCUUUGCUUUGUUUUGACCUGGACACGAAGAUAAGGCUUUUUGCUUUGUUUUGACCUGGACACGAAGAUAAGUUUUUGCUUUGUUUGACCUGGACACGAAGAUAAGUUUGAUCUCUACAACCCAAGUGUAUGCGUCUUUUUCUUUGAAAUGUCUCGAGGAGCGGAACAGAAUGCAACUGUGGAUUGCGUGACGCAGCAGGACGGGAGAGGCAGACCAGAAGUCUCCUUUUCUCUUCCCGGGGUUUCAGAAGACUAUUCCGAGUUUUGUUCAGAGAAGACAAGCGCAUCUUUGAACAAUCCUGUUGGGAUAAGCAGCAGCUCGGGCUAGUACGUCUCAUCUGUGCAGAGAAGCAUCUUCCAAGAUGUCGCCGUUCAGUCGUUCAAAGUACAGGUUAGGGCGGCCGUGAGAAUUGUGGUUGGAUUGGAUUGGUUAUCUUCUACUCUACUCUACUAUUUCCGUGACAAAGAAUGUGAAUGUGAGACGUUGCUGGCUGGCUGCUGUAGCCUAUACUGCUGCUGCUGUUAAGCGGCUGUGUUUUUUUUUUCUGAACCGAAAA